rnacentral:rRNA from 1 species
CGACAUCCAGAGAACUUAGCAGAGAUGCUUUGGUGCCUUCGGGAACUCUGAGACAGGUGCUGCAUGGCUGUCGUCAGCUCGUGUUGUGAAAUGUUGGGUUAAGUCCCGNAACGAGCGCAACCCUUAUCCUUUGUUGCCAGCGGUUCGGCCGGGAACUCAAAGGAGACUGCCGGUGAUAAACCGGAGGAAGGUGGGGAUGACGUCAAGUCAUCAUGGCCCUUACGGCCAGGGCUACACACGUGCUACAAUGGCGCAUACAAAGAGAAGCGACCUCGCGAGAGCAAGCGGACCUCAUAAAGUGCGUCGUAGUCCGGAUUGGAGUCUGCAACUCGACUCCAUGAAGUCGGAAUCGCUAGUAAUCGUAGAUCAGAAUGCUACGGUGAAUACGUUCCCGGGCCUUGUACACACCGCCCGUCACACCAUGGGAGUGGGUUGCAAAAGAAGUAGGUAGCUUAACCUUCGGGAGGGCGCUUACCACUUUGUGAUUCAUGACUGGGGUGAAGUCGUAACAAGGUAGGCGUAGCGAG